UACCCUCUGCUCUCUCGCGACCACGCCCUCAGGGCAGUUUUCCAUUGCCCAGCGCCCCACACUUCGCCCCACCUCUUCCCUCCCCGCCAGCCACCGCCUGCCUCCAUCUGCAUGCGCCGCCGGACCGCCGCGUCCACGCGUAGCCCGGACUGCCGCCCACGCUCCAGGCGCCCGGUCCGCCACGCCCACGCUUGAGGCGCCCGGGCCGCCCCGUCCACACUCUAGGCGGAUCGCGGCACCCACGCUCGAGGCUCCCGGGCCGCCCCGUCCAUGCUCCAGGCGGACCACGACGCCAUAGCUCCAGGCGCCCGGACCGCCACGCUCACGCUCCAGCCGCUCGGGCCGCCGCGUCCACGCACUGCCCGGACACAGGCACCGGCGCACCGCCGGUCCUCCACACUGCAGGAUGAGCAAGAGUAAUCCAGAUAAAGUUCCAGGAACGACUACGCAUCGUUCCCCAUUUAAAGACAUAACGAACUCGUCUAUGAUUGAGAAUGCAAAUGUCACUACUAAUAGUCAAGAAGCAAAAAAGAAUACAUUGUAUGCCCGAAUGUCUGAUGAGAAGAGAGCAGCAUUCCUUGAAAAACGUCGUAUGUCCCGACAAGAAAAGAAGUCUCAGGCUCUGAAUAUUGUUAAUGGUCAACUAACAGUUGAGGCACAUGCUCCGUUAGGAUCCAAGGAAUGUACAUCUUUGAGAAGCAUAACCAACACACACACAAAUGGUAUGUUCAUACUCUGCAUAUCAUAAUUAUUGAAUGACCAUUUACUCAUUUUGCUAGGAGGUUUGUCUCCUGCGUUGUGUCAGAUGCAACAUGUACUGAAGCCGCAGGACGCCCUUGAACAGCGGGAUCUGCCGCCUCCCUUGGACUUCGCCGGCAAGGCGUGAUCCGUCGUCGCCACCCCACUCUUCCCACGGGAGGAUGCGGCUGCUAUCAUCAACCUCCGCUCCAUGGGCGUACUCUCAAAUUCAAUAUGUUAGAUUUGCAGAGACUAAUGUUGCAUGACGCAAGAAGAAACAUGUGGUUCUGUUGCGAAUCACCACAGCGAUGCAGUAGGUUUCCAGAUUGAUGCUAUUGUUACUGCACAUGAGGGAAUACAUGGUUAUUAUUUUGACCAUAUCGGUGCCAUGGAAGCUGGAGAAUUUUUAUCUACUAUACUUGUUCGUUGCCUGCAUCAUAUUGCAGUUCCAAAGUCCACAUAAGGAAGUUUAAAUAAUACAUAAUUCAUUGGCGUGUACUCUGUCAUAGGAUGUUGCUUUACAUUUUGGGCGCACCAUGUUUUAACUGAGAAGGCAGUUGUUGGUACAGUUAGAGUUCAAAGAGGUCCUCCAACGAGGGUGUGUCAAAACUCAACUAGGCGCUUCGGUGUCAACUGUAAAGGUUGGAGGUAGAAUCAGCUUCAAUCUCGAGUACCCAAUUGUAGAGAAGACGAAAGGAGGCACAACAUAUAUGGAAGUACGAACUCUGGCAGUAACAAUUUUAUGUUUCCAAGUUAGGUUGAUGAUAUUCAACUUAAUAGAACCCAAACUUUUGUUGUUGAGUUCAAUAUACAGUGUCCCGUGUAUAGUUUUUAAGGUGUCAUGUUUCUCAAGAGAAUACAUCUGCACGUAAGGAACUAGCUACCGGUAUCAAUCUAAAUGAACAAGCUCAUAAGCAGGCUUUGCUUUUGA